rnacentral:rRNA from 1 species
UGGUCAAUGGAGGCAACUCUGAACCAGCCAUGCCGCGUGCAGGAUGACGGUCCUAUGGAUUGUAAACUGCUUUUGUACAGGAAGAAACCUCGCUACGUGUAGCGAUUUGACGGUACUGUAAGAAUAAGGAUCGGCUAACUCCGUGCCAGCAGCCGCGGUAAUACGGAGGAUCCGAGCGUUAUCCGGAAUUAUUGGGUUUAAAGGGUUCGUAGGCGGUUGGAUAAGUCAGUGGUGAAAUUUCUUAGCUUAACUAAGACCCGGCCAUUGAUACUGUUUGACUUGAAUAGUAUGGAAGUAACUAGAAUAUGUAGUGUAGCGGUGAAAUGCUUAGAUAUUACAUGGAAUACCAAUUGCGAAGGCAGGUUACUACGUACUUAUUGACGCUGAUGAACGAAAGCGUGGGGAGCGAACAGGAUUAGAUACCCUGGUAGUCCACGCCGUAAACGAUGGAUACUAGCUGUUCGGUUUUCGGACUGAGUGGCUAAGCGAAAGUGAUAAGUAUCCCACCUGGGGAGUACGUUCGCAAGAAUGAAACUCAAAGGAAUUGACGG